UACGUAGGUGACCAGCGUUGUCCGGAUUUACUGGGCGUAAAGAGCGCGCAGGCGGUCGUUCAAGUCGAGUGUGAAAGCCCCCGGCUCAACUGGGGAGGGUCACUCGAUACUGAUCGACUUGAAGGCAGGAGAGGGAAGCGGAAUUCCCGGUGUAGCGGUGAAAUGCGCAGAUAUCGGGGAGGAACACCAGCGGCGAAGGCGGCACUCUGGGCUGGUACGUGACGCUGGAGGAGCGAAAGCGUGGGUAGCAACAGGA
rnacentral:rRNA from 1 species